UAAGUUGGAGAUCCAACUAGAAAUAUAUCAACAUACAGUCAAAUGAAGCCUUCUCCUAGGAGUAACAGUUCAGGUGUCUGAGUACAUUCUAGCACUAUAAAGCAGCAUACAGACGAAUAAAACCAUCAUCUACCAGGGACAGGCAAAAUAAAUAAAAAUAACAUGUUAAGAAUCGCAGCAAAGAUGUCCAAAAGAUUUUCUUCCUUAAGGCAAGUAAUUUUCUAAAGUACUAUAAUUUAGGUAUAUAAAAUUAAAUUUUGUUUCUUUUGACCAAUGCAUAGUACAGAACAGCGGAAUUGAAAUUAUUGAUAAAACUCAACAAAGCAAGUCAAAUCUUUUUUUUUUUUUGUUUAGAUUUAUGCAUGCUAAUUUGAGAAUAUGUAUUAUGUUUCAAUAACAUUCUAAGAAUAUUUCUACUAAUGCUUUUGUAAUUUAUUUUCCACUUUUGCAUAAGUUUGAUAUAAGUUCAUCUCAUGGCAUAGCAUUUAUAGAGCACAAUCCUGAGUACGCAACUAUCUAAGUUCAUUUAAACACAAAUUUGGUUAGACAGCCCAAUGCUCUUUUCAUUCAUCUCAUAAUAUUCUUCAGAUCAAGUUGCAGAGAUCUAAAUGUUUCAUACAAGAAGAAAGAAAAAAAAAAAAAAAAGAGGCAUGCAGAGAAA